AGAUGACAACAAAAACAAUUGGCUGGCAGAAGUUAUUACUUCAACAAGAUUCAGUUGUUUUUCCUGGAUCUAAUAUAUAGGGCAGUUAAUGAUAAAUCAACAUCCAGGGGAGUAGUAGGACAAUUAUAUUUGGAAUGGGGUUGCAUUUCCUUGGAGAGAUCAGGCUUACAAUUUGAUCCAGUGUUGUCCUUUGAGAUGUAAGCAUUCCCAGGGCACUGAAUGCUACCUUGGGGUGAUAUAGAAAUACGGCCAUUCAUGGAUUGGGAUGGUCUAACAAUAGAUUUUCUGGAGAUGAGAGCAUGUGACUGGCCUAGGAUCAUGGAGUGGAUUUUCAUGGCUGAGCAGGGAUUUGAACCCUGAUUUCCAGAUUCAUCCUCCAACAUUGAAACAUGUAUGCUGUGCCAACUCUCUUGAAGGCACACAAUAACAACAAAAAGUAACAGAAGCUCUUUUUUCUUCUGCUUAAUAAAAGCCAAAUUACAAAUA